rnacentral:rRNA from 1 species
CCCUUAGAUGUUCUGGGCCGCACGCGUGCUACACUGAGUGGAUCAGCGGGUCAGGUUGCGCGAAAGUGUUUCCUAAUCUUGAAAUCCGCUCGUGAUGGGGAUUGACGGUUGCAAUUUUCCGUCAUGAACGAGGAAUACCUUGUAAGCGCGGGUCAUCAUCCCGCGCUGAAUACGUCCCUGCCCUUUGUACACACCGCCCGUCGCUCCUACCGAUUGAGUGGUCCGGUGAGGCUUUGGGAUCUGAGCGGAAAGAGCGUUUCGCUGUUUCUGCUCGGAAAACUCAGUCGAACCUUAUCAUCUAGAGGAAGGAGAAGUCGUAACA